rnacentral:rRNA from 1 species
GGGUUGUGAGGUUAAGCGAACAAGCGUACACGGUGGAUGCCCUGGCAGUCAGAGGCGAUGAAGGACGUGCUAAUCUGCGAAAAGCGCCGGUAAGGUGAUAUGAACCGUUAUAACCGGCGAUGUCCGAAUGGGGAAACCCGGUGCACUUCGGUGCAUCAUCGUUAGCUGAAUACAUAGGCUAACGAGGCGAACCGGGGGAACUGAAACAUCUAAGUACCCCGAGGAAAAGAAAUCAACCGAGAUUCCCCCAGUAGCGGCGAGCGAACGGGGAACAGCCCAGAGCCUGAAUCAGCUUGUGUGUCAGUGGAACGGUCUGGAAAGGCCGGCGAUACAGGGUGACAGCCCCGUACACGAAGGCACACAGGCUGUGAGCUCGAUGAGUAGGGCGGGACACGUGAUAUCCUGUCUGAAGAUGGGGGGACCAUCCUCCAAGGCUAAAUACUCCUGACUGACCGAUAGUGAACCAGUACCGUGAGGGAAAGGCGAAAAGAACCCCGGCGAGGGGAGUGAAACAGAACCUGAAACCGUGUACGUACAAGCAGUGGGAGCCUUCGUAAGAGGGUGACUGCGUACCUUUUGUAUAAUGGGUCAGCGACUUAUAUUCUGUAGCAAGGUUAACCGUAUAGGGGAGCCGAAGGGAAACCGAGUCUUAACCGGGCGUUAAGUUGCAGGGUAUAGACCCGAAACCCGGUGAUCUAGCCAUGGGCAGGUUGAAGGUUGGGUAACACUAACUGGAGGACCGAACCGACUAAUGUUGAAAAAUUAGCGGAUGACCUGUGGCUGGGGGUGAAAGGCCAAUCAAACCGGGAGAUAGCUGGUUCUCCCCGAAAGCUAUUUAGGUAGCGCCUCGUGAACUCAUCUCCGGGGGUAGAGCACUGUUUCGGCUAGGGGGCCAUCCCGGCUUACCAACCCGAUGCAAACUGCGAAUACCGGAGAAUGUUAUCACGGGAGACACACGGCGGGUGCUAACGUCCGUCGUGAAGAGGGAAACAACCCAGACCGCCAGCUAAGGUCCCAAAGUCAUGGUUAAGUGGGAAACGAUGUGGGAAGGCCCAGACAGCCAGGAUGUUGGCUUAGAAGCAGCCAUCAUUUAAAGAAAGCGUAAUAGCUCACUGGUCGAGUCGGCCUGCGCGGAAGAUGUAACGGGGCUAAACCAUGCACCGAAGCUGCGGCAGCGACACUUAUGUGUUGUUGGGUAGGGGAGCGUUCUGUAAGCCUGUGAAGGUGUGCUGUGAGGCAUGCUGGAGGUAUCAGAAGUGCGAAUGCUGACAUAAGUAACGAUAAAGCGGGUGAAAAGCCCGCUCGCCGGAAGACCAAGGGUUCCUGUCCAACGUUAAUCGGGGCAGGGUGAGUCGACCCCUAAGGCGAGGCCGAAAGGCGUAGUCGAUGGGAAACAGGUUAAUAUUCCUGUACUUGGUGUUACUGCGAAGGGGGGACGGAGAAGGCUAUGUCGGCCGGGCGACGGUUGUCCCGGUUUAAGCGUGUAGGCUGACUUUCCAGGCAAAUCCGGAAAGUUAAGGCUGAGGCGUGAUGACGAGGCACCACGGUGCUGAAGUGACAAAUGCCCUGCUUCCAGGAAAAGCCUCUAAGCAUCAGGUAACAUCAAAUCGUACCCCAAACCGACACAGGUGGUCAGGUAGAGAAUACCAAGGCGCUUGAGAGAACUCGGGUGAAGGAACUAGGCAAAAUGGUGCCGUAACUUCGGGAGAAGGCACGCUGACAUGUAGGUGAAGCCCCUGCGGGUGGAGCUGAAGUCAGUCGAAGAUACCAGCUGGCUGCAACUGUUUAUUAAAAACACAGCACUGUGCAAACACGAAAGUGGACGUAUACGGUGUGACGCCUGCCCGGUGCCGGAAGGUUAAUUGAUGGGGUUAUCGCAAGAGAAGCUCCUGAUCGAAGCCCCGGUAAACGGCGGCCGUAACUAUAACGGUCCUAAGGUAGCGAAAUUCCUUGUCGGGUAAGUUCCGACCUGCACGAAUGGCGUAAUGAUGGCCAGGCUGUCUCCACCCGAGACUCAGUGAAAUUGAACUCGCUGUGAAGAUGCAGUGUACCCGCGGCAAGACGGAAAGACCCCGUGAACCUUUACUACAGCUUGACACUGAACAUUGAGCCUUGAUGUGUAGGAUAGGUGGGAGGCUUUGAAGCGUGGACGCCAGUCUGCGUGGAGCCAACCUUGAAAUACCACCCUUUAAUGUUUGAUGUUCUAACCUGGCGCCGUAAUCCGGCGUGGGGACAGUGUCUGGUGGGUAGUUUGACUGGGGCGGUCUCCUCCCAAAGUGUAACGGAGGAGCACGAAGGUCAGCUAAUCCUGGUCGGACAUCAGGAGGUUAGUGCAAUGGCAUAAGCUGGCUUGACUGCGAGAGUGACGGCUCGAGCAGGUGCGAAAGCAGGUCAUAGUGAUCCGGUGGUUCUGUAUGGAAGGGCCAUCGCUCAACGGAUAAAAGGUACUCCGGGGAUAACAGGCUGAUACCGCCCAAGAGUUCAUAUCGACGGCGGUGUUUGGCACCUCGAUGUCGGCUCAUCACAUCCUGGGGCUGAAGUAGGUCCCAAGGGUAUGGCUGUUCGCCAUUUAAAGUGGUACGCGAGCUGGGUUUAGAACGUCGUGAGACAGUUCGGUCCCUAUCUGCCGUGGGCGCUGGAGAAUUGAGGGGGGCUGCUCCCAGUACGAGAGGACCGGAGUGGACGCAUCACUGGUGUUCGGGUUGUCAUGCCAAUGGCACUGCCCGGUAGCUAAAUGCGGAAGAGAUAAGUGCUGAAAGCAUCUAAGCACGAAACUUGCCCCGAGAUGAGUUCUCCCUGACUCCUUGAGAGUCCUGAAGGAACGUUGAAGACGACGACGUUGAUAGGCCGGGUGUGUAAGCGCAGCGAUGCGUUGAGCUAACCGGUACUAAUGAACCGUGAGGCUUAACCUUACAACGCCAAAGAAGU